rnacentral:tRNA from 1 species
GCAGGUGUGCUGGAAUAGGCAGACAGGCACGUUUGAGGGGCGUGUGUCAAAAGACGUAUGGGUUCAAGUCCCAUUACCUGCACCA